AUGAGGAGGACGCUGAAGGCGAAGCAGACGAUGGCAGCGCACCACAUCGCGGGGCUGGUCCGGUGCCGUGGCUGCAGGAUGAUCUUGGGCGGCGGCGGCGGCUCUGGCUCCUGCCGCUUCAUGCUGAUGAUCUUGGUGACGAUGGUUCUUGGAGACAGGAGGUGGUAUGGAGUAGGAGUACCCAUUGAUCCCGAGCAGCAGCAACCAAUCACAAAGGAGCGCACCGGGAGGAGAGGAGAGGAGAGGAGAAGAAGCCAAGCGAGUAAGGUGUCCGAACGGGAAAGCAAAAGGGAAGGACGAAGUAAUAAUGGAGGUAAAAGUAGGCUAUGCUAA
rnacentral:rRNA from 1 species